GGCGAACGGGUGAGUAACGCGUGAGGAACCUGCCUCAAAGAGGGGGACAACAGUUGGAAACGACUGCUAAUACCGCAUAAGCCCACAGGUCGGCAUCGACCAGAGGGAAAAGGAGCAAUCCGCUUUGAGAUGGCCUCGCGUCCGAUUAGCUAGUUGGUGAGGUAACGGCCCACCAAGGCGACGAUCGGUAGCCGGACUGAGAGGUUGAACGGCCACAUUGGGACUGAGACACGGCCCAGACUCCUACGGGAGGCAGCAGUGGGGAAUAUUGCACAAUGGGGGAAACCCUGAUGCAGCGACGCCGCGUGGAGGAAGAAGGUCUUCGGAUUGUAAACUCCUGUUGUUGAGGAAGAUAAUGACGGUACUCAACAAGGAAGUGACGGCUAACUACGUGCCAGCAGCCGCGGUAAAACGUAGGUCACAAGCGUUGUCCGGAAUUACUGGGUGUAAAGGGAGCGCAGGCGGGAAGACAAGUUGGAAGUGAAAUCUAUGGGCUCAACCCAUAAACUGCUUUCAAAACUGUUUUUCUUGAGUAGUGCAGAGGUAGGCGGAAUUCCCGGUGUAGCGGUGGAAUGCGUAGAUAUCGGGAGGAACACCAGUGGCGAAGGCGGCCUACUGGGCACCAACUGACGCUGAGGCUCGAAAGUGUGGGUAGCAAACAGGAUUAGAUACCCUGGUAGUCCACACCGUAAACGAUGAUUACUAGGUGUUGGAGGAUUGACCCCUUC
rnacentral:rRNA from 1 species